rnacentral:rRNA from 1 species
AAUCUGAGGUGGCGACCGGCGCACGGGUGAGUAACACGUAUGCAACCUGCCUGUAAGCGGGGAAUAACCCGUUGAAAGACGGACUAAUACCGCAUAAUACUAAAUUACUGCAUGGUAAUUUAUUUAAACAUUUAUGGCUUACAGAUGGGCAUGCGCAUGAUUAGCUAGUUGGAGAGGUAACGGCUCCCCAAGGCAACGAUCAUUAGGGGUUCUGAGAGGAAGGUCCCCCACACUGGUACUGAGACACGGACCAGACUCCUACGGGAGGCAGCAGUGAGGAAUAUUGGUCAAUGGACGAGAGUCUGAACCAGCCAAGUCGCGUGCAGGAAGAAUGUCCUAAUGGAUUGUAAACUGCUUUUGCAGGGGAAUAAAGUGCAUCACGUGUGAUGUUUUGUAUGUACUCUGCGAAUAAGGAUCGGCUAACUCCGUGCCAGCAGCCGC